UUUUGACCUCGGAUCAGGUAGGGAUACCCGCUGAACUUAAGCAUAUCAAAAGCCGGAGGAAACC
rnacentral:rRNA from 1 species